UGCUUUAGAGUAAAUAGCCGCAGUAUUUUGACUGUGCUAAGGUAGCAUAAUCAUUAGUCUUUUAAUUGAAGGCUGGUAUGAAUGGCGAGACGAGAAAGUAACUGUCUCUAAUAAAAUAAUUGAAUUUCAUUUCUAAGUGAAAAAGCUUAGAUGAAUUUGGAGGACGAUCAGACCCUUUGGAGCUUUAUUUAAUAAAUCCCUUAAGUUAAUUUAAAAUAAGAAAGGGGUUUCUUAAAUUUUGUUGGGGCGACAAAGAGUUAAAAAUAACACUCUUUUUAUUAAACAUAAAUAGAUGAAAAAUUGAUCCUUAAAGAAAGAUUAAAAGACUAAGUUACCCUAGGGAUAACAGCGUAAUCUUUUUAGAGAGUUCAUAUCGAUAAAAAGGUUUGCGACCUCGAUGUUGGAUUAAGAAAUUAACAAGGUGCAGAAGCUUUGUUGGAAAGUCUGUUCGACUUUUAAACUCUUACAU
rnacentral:rRNA from 1 species